AGCGUACACGGUGGAUGCCCUGGCAGUCAGAGGCGAUGAAGGACGUGCUAAUCUGCGAUAAGCGUCGGUAAGGUGAUAUGAACCGUUAUAACCGGCGAUUUCCGAAUGGGGAAACCCAGUGUGAUUCGUCACACUAUCAUUAACUGAAUCCAUAGGUUAAUGAGGCGAACCGGGGGAACUGAAACAUCUAAGUACCCCGAGGAAAAGAAAUCAACCGAGAUUCCCCCAGUAGCGGCGAGCGAACGGGGAGCAGCCCAGAGCCUGAAUCAGUGUGUGUGUUAGUGGAAGCGUCUGGAAAGGCGUGCGAUACAGGGUGACAGCCCCGUACACAAAAAUGCACAUACUGUGAGCUCGAUGAGUAGGGCGGGACACGUGGUAUCCUGUCUGAAUAUGGGGGGACCAUCCUCCAAGGCUAAAUACUCCUGACUGACCGAUAGUGAACCAGUACCGUGAGGGAAAGGCGAAAAGAACCCCGGCGAGGGGAGUGAAAAAGAACCUGAAACCGUGUACGUACAAGCAGUGGGAGCACAGAGCAAUCUGUGUGACUGCGUACCUUUUGUAUAAUGGGUCAGCGACUUAUAUUCUGUAGCAAGGUUAACCGAAUAGGGGAGCCGAAGGGAAACCGAGUCUUAACUGGGCGUUAAGUUGCAGGGUAUAGACCCGAAACCCGGUGAUCUAGCCAUGGGCAGGUUGAAGGUUGGGUAACACUAACUGGAGGACCGAACCGACUAAUGUUGAAAAAUUAGCGGAUGACUUGUGGCUGGGGGUGAAAGGCCAAUCAAACCGGGAGAUAGCUGGUUCUCCCCGAAAGCUAUUUAGGUAGCGCCUCGUGAAUUCAUCUCCGGGGGUAGAGCACUGUUUCGGCAAGGGGGUCAUCCCGACUUACCAACCCGAUGCAAACUGCGAAUACCGGAGAAUGUUAUCACGGGAGACACACGGCGGGUGCUAACGUCCGUCGUGAAGAGGGAAACAACCCAGACCGCCAGCUAAGGUCCCAAAGUCAUGGUUAAGUGGGAAACGAUGUGGGAAGGCCCAGACAGCCAGGAUGUUGGCUUAGAAGCAGCCAUCAUUUAAAGAAAGCGUAAUAGCUCACUGGUCGAGUCGGCCUGCGCGGAAGAUGUAACGGGGCUAAACCAUGCACCGAAGCUGCGGCAGCGACGCUUAUGCGUUGUUGGGUAGGGGAGCGUUCUGUAAGCCUGCGAAGGUGUGCUGUGAGGCAUGCUGGAGGUAUCAGAAGUGCGAAUGCUGACAUAAGUAACGAUAAAGCGGGUGAAAAGCCCGCUCGCCGGAAGACCAAGGGUUCCUGUCCAACGUUAAUCGGGGCAGGGUGAGUCGACCCCUAAGGCGAGGCCGAAAGGCGUAGUCGAUGGGAAACAGGUUAAUAUUCCUGUACUUGGUGUUACUGCGAAGGGGGGACGGAGAAGGCUAUGUUGGCCGGGCGACGGUUGUCCCGGUUUAAGCGUGUAGGCUGGUUUUCCAGGCAAAUCCGGAAAAUCAAGGCUGAGGCGUGAUGACGAGGCACUACGGUGCUGAAGCAACAAAUGCCCUGCUUCCAGGAAAAGCCUCUAAGCAUCAGGUAACAUCAAAUCGUACCCCAAACCGACACAGGUGGUCAGGUAGAGAAUACCAAGGCGCUUGAGAGAACUCGGGUGAAGGAACUAGGCAAAAUGGUGCCGUAACUUCGGGAGAAGGCACGCUGAUAUGUAGGUGAAGUCCCUCGCGGAUGGAGCUGAAAUCAGUCGAAGAUACCAGCUGGCUGCAACUGUUUAUUAAAAACACAGCACUGUGCAAACACGAAAGUGGACGUAUACGGUGUGACGCCUGCCCGGUGCCGGAAGGUUAAUUGAUGGGGUCAGCGCAAGCGAAGCUCUUGAUCGAAGCCCCGGUAAACGGCGGCCGUAACUAUAACGGUCCUAAGGUAGCGAAAUUCCUUGUCGGGUAAGUUCCGACCUGCACGAAUGGCGUAAUGAUGGCCAGGCUGUCUCCACCCGAGACUCAGUGAAAUUGAACUCGCUGUGAAGAUGCAGUGUACCCGCGGCAAGACGGAAAGACCCCGUGAACCUUUACUAUAGCUUGACACUGAACAUUGAGCCUUGAUGUGUAGGAUAGGUGGGAGGCUUUGAAGUGUGGACGCCAGUCUGCAUGGAGCCGACCUUGAAAUACCACCCUUUAAUGUUUGAUGUUCUAACGUUGACCCGUAAUCCGGGUUGCGGACAGUGUCUGGUGGGUAGUUUGACUGGGGCGGUCUCCUCCUAAAGAGUAACGGAGGAGCACGAAGGUUGGCUAAUCCUGGUCGGACAUCAGGAGGUUAGUGCAAUGGCAUAAGCCAGCUUGACUGCGAGCGUGACGGCGCGAGCAGGUGCGAAAGCAGGUCAUAGUGAUCCGGUGGUUCUGAAUGGAAGGGCCAUCGCUCAACGGAUAAAAGGUACUCCGGGGAUAACAGGCUGAUACCGCCCAAGAGUUCAUAUCGACGGCGGUGUUUGGCACCUCGAUGUCGGCUCAUCACAUCCUGGGGCUGAAGUAGGUCCCAAGGGUAUGGCUGUUCGCCAUUUAAAGUGGUACGCGAGCUGGGUUUAGAACGUCGUGAGACAGUUCGGUCCCUAUCUGCCGUGGGCGCUGGAGAAUUGAGGGGGGCUGCUCCUAGUACGAGAGGACCGGAGUGGACGCAUCACUGGUGUUCGGGUUGUCAUGCCAAUGGCACUGCCCGGUAGCUAAAUGCGGAAGAGAUAAGUGCUGAAAGCAUCUAAGCACGAAACUUGCCCCGAGAUGAGUUCUCCCUGACUCCUUGA
rnacentral:rRNA from 1 species